UCUUAGUUGGAGUCUAACAGGAGGAGAAAUGCAACACAAAUUUUACAAACUUUAAACUUGGAAGCAUCCUCAAUCUAAAAGUGUGACAGCAUGGAAAUCAGUUUGGCUAGCCCAGAGCAAGCCAGAGAGUGGGCAGAAGGAACCAAGAAUGCAAAGGUAGCCACAGUUGGAACGUUUGGACCAUGAAGGCAUUCAUGAGGUGGUGGAGGCAAUUACAACUCUAGAGCAGUGAUUUUCAACCAGUG